AUGUUUGCUUAUUUCCAGGUAAAGACUGCAAAUUUUAUCGAGCAAGAAAACAUCACAGCUACUUCAAUAUUCAUCCUUCUGGGACUUUCAAAAGAAACUGAUAUCCAGCCUCUUGUAUUUGGGCUGUUCCUUUUCAUUUACCUGGUCUGCAUCACAGGAAAUAUGCUUAUCAUCCUGAUCAUUACCUCUGAUGCCCACCUCCAGACUCCAAUGUAUUUCUUUCUUUCUAACCUAUCUUUUACAGACAUUUGCUUCAUAUCCACCACAGUCCCCAAGAUGUUAGUGAACAUCCAGACACAGAAUAAAUCCAUAACAUAUGAAGGCUGCCUUGCUCAGAUGUAUUUUUUCAUGUUUUUUUCUGGAUUGGAUAGUUUGUUACUGACUGUAAUGGCGUAUGACCGGUUUGUGGCCAUAUGUCACCCCUUGCACUACAUGAUUGUCAUGAGCCCUCACUUGUGUGUUAGUCUACUUCUACUGUCUUGCCUAAUCUGCCUGGCCUAUUCAUUGUUGCAAACUUUAUUUUUUUUUUCCAUUUUUUAUUAGGUAUUUAACUCAUUUACAUUUCCAAUGCUAUACCAAAAGUCCCCCAUAUCCACCCACCCCCACUCCCCUGCCCACCCACUCCCCCUUUUUGGCCCUGGUAUUCCCCUGUACUGGGGCAUAUAAAGUUUGCAAGUCCAAUGGGCCUCUCUUUCCAGUGAUGGCCGACUAGGCCAUCUUUUGAUAUAUAUGCAGCUAGAGUCAAGAGCUCCGGGGUACUGGUUAGCUCAUAAUGUUGUUCCACCUAUAGGGUUGCAGAUCCCUUUAGCUCCUUGGCUACUUUCUCUAGCUCCUCCAUUGGGAGCCCUAUGAUCCAUCCAUUAGCUGACUGUGAGCAUCCACUUCUGUGUUUGCUGGGCCCCGGCAUAGUCUCACAAGAGACAGCUACAUCUGCGUCCUUUCAAUAAAAUCUUGCUAGUGUAUGCAAUGGUGUCAGCGUUUGGAUGCUGAUUAUGGGGUGGAUCCCUGGCUAUGGCAGUCUCUACAUGGUCCAUCCUUUCAUCUCAGCUCCAAACUCCGUCUCUGUAACUCCUUCCAUGGGUGUUUUGUUCCCAAAUCUAAGGAGGGGCAUAGUGUCCACACUUCAGUCUUCAUUCUCCUUGAGUUUCAUGUGUUGCAAACUUUAAUGUUUUUGAGGGUGUCUUUCUGUAAGAAAACAGAAAUACCCCACUACUUCUGUGAACUUGCUCAGAUUCUCAAGCUUGCCUGCUCAGACACAUAUGCCAAUGAUAUCCUGCUUUACUGUGUAACUGGUUUACUAGGUAUUAUUCCUCUGUCUGGGAUUCUUUUUUCAUAUUCUAAAAUUAUCAACUCUAUAGUGGGCAUUUCAUCUGCUAGGGGUAAGUAUAAAGCCUUUUCUACUUGUGGCUCUCAUCUUUCAGUGGUCUCAUUGUUCUAUGGCACAGGCCUUGGGGUCUACCUUACUUCUCAAAUGUCCUAUAAAUCCAGAGAGGGUUCAAUAGCCUCGGUGAUGUAUACUGUGGUUACUCCUAUGCUAAACCCUUUCAUCUACAGCCUGAGGAACAAGGACUUGAAUCAGGCUCUUAGAAGAUUUUUUCACAGCACAGGAGACAGGUUUCGGUAGAUAAUAGAAUCAAGAGGG